CACGGCGGCCAUAGCGGCGGGGUUACACCCGGUCUCGUUUCGACCCCGGAAGUUAAGCCCGCCUGCGUUCCCGGGUGUACUGCCCUCCGGGAGGGGGCGGGAAACCGGGAACGCCGCCGGCC
rnacentral:rRNA from 1 species